CACAACAGGCAGAACUACACAUGAGAUCAACAACGAAUAUGAACCAUCACAACUCAGAACUCUGGACUAAACAUCCUAGUAUACUAGUGUAUGACUGACUGACUGACUCUCAUAUAUGUAUAAAAUGUGUUAUUAUAAAAACUAUUUUAAACUUGUUUCUCAUCUCACAUUUCAGAACCUUCCCAUAACGCCAACGGGUAGAACUGCAUCCAAACAUCCGACCCUCCAUAGAAUAUAUUCUGCUGCUCGUCUGCUUUCACUCUGCUGUCACACACACACACACACACACACACACACACACACACACACACACAGUAUUUCAAGAGAAAGCCACAGAUUGUUUCCUUCAGGUGGAAACAUGAGCUGAAAACAGGAUAAACGUGACAAUUUGUCAACAAAGUUGUUUUGAAACAAAAAUCAGUGUCAGAUUCAUUUAAUAUAAUAAAAUCUAAAGAUCAGAUUUCCACUUGAUCAAAGCUCAAAUGAUUGAAAUGAAAGUCACAGCUGCAGCAGCUUCUGAUCCUGUGGUCACAGCUGAAGAAGCAGCUUCUGAUCCUGUGGUCACAGCUGAAGCAGCUUCUGAUCCUGUGGUCACAGCUGAAGCAGCUUCUGAUCCUGUGGUCACAGCUGAAGCAGCUUCUGAUCUGUGGUCACAGCGUGCAGCAGCUUCUGAUCCUGCGGUCACAGCUGCAGCAGCUUCUGAUCCUGUGGUCACAGCUGAAGCAGCAUCUGAUCCUGUGGUCACAGCUGAAGCAGCUUCUGAUCCUGUGGUCACAGCUGAAGAAGCAGCUUCUGAUCCUGUGGUCACAGCUGAAGCAGCUUCUGAUCCUGUGGUCACAGCUGAAGCAGCUUCUGGUCCUGUGGUCACAGCUGAAGCAGCUUCUGGUCCUGUGGUCACAGCUGAAGCAGCCGCUCGGCUCCAUCAUCAGAUUCAAUCAUCUCAGUGUGUUUCUGCUGUGCUCACAUCGUAUUUUAACUUCUGUGAUAUAAAUUAAACUGUGGACAUUAAUGUGUUAAUCUGCUGUUAUAACUGGCUGUAUACUGUAUAUAUACAACAUGGUGUGAGGAGCUCAUUGUGACUGAUUUCUGUUAUUUUCUGUUUAUUAAAGCUUCAGCAAAG
rnacentral:lncRNA from 1 species